rnacentral:rRNA from 1 species
AUUGAACGCUGGCGGCAGGCCUAACACAUGCACGUCGAGCGGAGCGGCGGACGGGUGAGUAAUGCCUAGGAAUCUGCCUGGUAGUGGGGGAUAACGUCCGGAAACGGGCGCUAAUACCGCAUCCUAUCAGCUGAGCCUAGGUCGGAUUCGCUAGUUGGUGGGGUAAAGGCCUACCAAGGGGACGAUCCGUAACUGGUCUGAGAGGAUGAUCAGUCACACUGGAACGGAGACACGGUCCAUACUCCUACGGGAGGCAGCAGUGGGGGAUAUUGCAAAAUGUGCGAAAGCCGGAUGCAGCGACGCCGCGUGGGGGAUGAAGGCUUUCGGGUUGUAAACCUCUUUCGCUAGCGAACGGGUAGGUGGAGAAGAAGCGCCGGCUAACUACGUGCCAGCAGCCGCGGUAAUUC